UAAUAUGAAGGAAUAAUUCCACUUAAUUUCGACUUAAACUCUAGAUUAUAAAUAAUCCAUAUUAU
rnacentral:tRNA from 1 species